rnacentral:rRNA from 1 species
UACAGAGGGGGCAAGCGUUGUUCGGAAUUACUGGGCGUAAAGGGCGCGUAGGCGGCCGCCUAAGUCAGACGUGAAAUCCCUCGGCUCAACCGGGGAACUGCGUCUGAUACUGGGUGGCUUGAAUCCGGGAGAGGGAUGCGGAAUUCCAGGUGUAGCGGUGAAAUGCGUAGAUAUCAGGAGGAACACCGGUGGCGAAGGCGGGUCUCUGGGCCGUAACUGACGCUGAGGAGCGAAAGCGUGGGGAGCGAACAGG